rnacentral:rRNA from 1 species
AUUGAACGCUGGCGGCAGGCCUAACACAUGCAAGUCGAGCGGAUGAAGGGAGCUUGCUCCUGGAUUCAGCGGCGGACGGGUGAGUAAUGCCUAGGAAUCUGCCUGGUAGUGGGGGAUAACGUCCGGAAACGGGCGCUAAUACCGCAUACGUCCUGAGGGAGAAAGUGGGGGAUCUUCGGACCUCACGCUAUCAGAUGAGCCUAGGUCGGAUUAGCUAGUUGGUGGGGUAAAGGCCUACCAAGGCGACGAUCCGUAACUGGUCUGAGAGGAUGAUCAGUCACAAUGGAACUGAGACACGGUCCAGACUCCUACGGGAGGCAGCAGUGGGGAAUAUUGGACAAUGGGCGAAAGCCUGAUCCAGCCAUGCCGCGUGUGUGAAGAAGGUCUUCGGAUUGUAAAGCACUUUAAGUUGGGAGGAAGGGCAGUAAGUUAAUACCUUGCUGUUUUGACGUUACCAACAGAAUAAGCACCGGCUAACUUCGUG